CGUAGGGGGCUAGCGUUGUCCGGAAUCAUUGGGCGUAAAGCGCGUGUAGGCGGCCCGGUAAGUCCGCUGUGAAAGUCGGGGGCUCAACCCUCGGAAGCCGGUGGAUACUGUCGGGCUCGAGUACGGAAGAGGCGAGUGGAAUUCCUGGUGUAGCGGUGAAAUGCGCAGAUAUCAGGAGGAACACCAAUUGCGAAGGCAGCUCGCUGGGACGUAACUGACGCUGAGACGCGAAAGCGUGGGGAGCAAACAGGAUUAGAUACCCUGGUAGUCCACGCUGUAAACGAUGGGCACUAGGUGUGGGGGGUGUCGACUCCCUCCGUGCCGAAGCUAACGCAUUAAGUGCCCCGCCUGGGGAGUACGGCCGCAAGGCUA
rnacentral:rRNA from 1 species